GGAAGGGUGGCGGAGUGGCCGAACGCGGCGGUCUUGAAAACCGCAGUGGGUGCAAGCCCACCGUGGGUUCGAAUCCCACCCCUUCCG
rnacentral:tRNA from 1 species